rnacentral:rRNA from 1 species
UACGGGGGGGGCAAGCGUUGUUCGGAAUUACUGGGCGUAAAGGGCUCGUAGGUGGCCAACUAAGUCGGACGUGAAAUCCCUCGGCUUAACCGGGGAACUGCGUCCGAUACUGGUUGGCUUGAGUUUGGGAGAGGGAAGCGGAAUUCCCGGUGUAGUGGUGAAAUGCGUAGAUAUCGGGAGGAACACCAGUGGCGAAGGCGGCUUCCUGGCCUGUUCUUGACGCUGAGGCGCGAAAGCUAGGGGAGCAAACGGG